rnacentral:rRNA from 1 species
UCCUACGGGGGGCAGCAGUGGGGAAUAUUGCACAAUGGGGGAAACCCUGAUGCAGCAACGCCGCGUGAGUGAAGAAGUAUUUCGGUAUGUAAAGCUCUAUCCGCAGGGAAGAAAUAGCGACCUUUGGGUCGCCAGACGGUACCUGACUAAGAAGCCCCGGCUAACUACGUGCCAGCAGCCGCGGUAAUACGUAGGGGGCAAGCGUUAUCCGGAUUUACUGGGUGUAAAGGGAGCGUAGACGGCAGCACAAGUCUGAAGUGAAAUGCCGGGGCUUAACCCCGGACCUGCUUUGGAAACUGUGCAGC